AACCAAGAACCCAAUUUAGAGAAGAGGUUAUCAGCUGUUCACUCGCAAUCUACCAACAGAAGGUUGCGCGGCGACGAGCUUGGGUGGUGUUGAGUCGAACCUUAAUUUUUGUGGGAUUUGCUUUGAACUCCGAGGGGCGUCGUGUCUUCAUACAUGGCGUCACUCUUACUCUUGAAUGCUUCUGCUGAAUUAUGAUUGUUUUUCUCCAUUAUGCUUUUGAACCUCUUUUCACUCUUGGAUCACUAAUUAUGAUAGCUGUUGACUUUGGAUUUAAAGCUUGAACAUUUACUCUGA